CAGCAGUAGGGAUCUUCGGCAAUGGACGGAAGUCUGACCGAGCAACGCCGCGUGAGUGAAGAAGGUUUUCGGAUCGUAAAGCUCUGUUGUAAGAGAAGAACGAGUGUGAGAGUGGAAAGUUCACACUGUGACGGUAUCUUACCAGAAAGGGACGGCUAACUACGUGCCAGCAGCCGCGGUAAUACGUAGGUCCCGAGCGUUGUCCGGAUUUAUUGGGCGUAAAGCGAGCGCAGGCGGUUAGAUAAGUCUGAAGUUAAAGGCUGUGGCUUAACCAUAGUACGCUUUGGAAACUGUUUAACUUGAGUGCAAGAGGGGAGAGUGGAAUUCCAUGUGUAGCGGUGAAAUGCGUAGAUAUAUGGAGGAACACCGGUGGCGAAAGCGGCUCUCUGGCUUGUAACUGACGCUGAGGCUCGAAAGCGUGGGGAGCAAACAGGAUUAGAUACCCUGGUAGUCCACGCCGUAAACGAUGAGUGCUAGGUGUUGGACCCUUUCCGGGGUUUAGUGCCGUAGCUAACGCAUUAAGCACUCCGCCUGGGGAGUACGACCGCAAGGUUGAAACUCAAAGGAAUUGACGGGGGCCCG
rnacentral:rRNA from 1 species